UAAACGACUCUCGGCAACGGAUAUCUCGGCUCACGCAUCGAUGAAGAACGUAGCAAAAUGCGAUACUUGGUGUGAAUUGCAGAAUCCCGUGAACCAUCGAGUUUUUGAACGCAAGUUGCGCCCAAAGCCUUUUGGCCGAGGGCACGUCUGCCUGGGCGUCACAC
rnacentral:rRNA from 5 species